rnacentral:rRNA from 1 species
UACGGAGGAUGCGAGCGUUAUCCGGAUUUAUUGGGUUUAAAGGGUGCGUAGGCGGGCUGUUAAGUCAGCGGUCAAAUGUCGGGGCUCAACCCCGGCCUGCCGUUGAAACUGGCAGUCUCGAGUUGGAGAGAAGUAUGCGGAAUGCGCGGUGUAGCGGUGAAAUGCAUAGAUAUCGCGCAGAACUCCGAUUGCGAAGGCAGCAUACCGGCGCCCUACUGACGGUGAGGCGCGAAAGCGUGGGGAUCGAACAGG